RGUGGAUUAGCGGCGGACGGGUGAGUAACACGUGGGUAACCUGCCUCAAAGUGGGGGAUAGCCUUCCGAAAGGAAGAUUAAUACCGCAUAACAUAAGAGAAUCGCAUGAUUUUCUUAUCAAAGAUUUAUUGCUUUGAGAUGGACCCGCGGCGCAUUAGCUAGUUGGUAAGGUAACGGCUUACCAAGGCAACGAUGCGUAGCCGACCUGAGAGGGUGAUCGGCCACAUUGGAACUGAGACACGGUCCAGACUCCUACGGGAGGCAGCAGUGGGGAAUAUUGCGCAAUGGGGGAAACCCUGACGCAGCAACGCCGCGUGGGUGAUGAAGGUCUUCGGAUUGUAAAGCCCUGUUUUCUGGGACGAUAAUGACGGUACCAGAGGAGGAAGCCACGGCUAACUACGUGCCAGCAGCCGCGGUAAUACGUAGGUGGCGAGCGUUGUCCGGAUUUACUGGGCGUAAAGGGUGCGUAGGCGGAUGUUUAAGUGGGAUGUGAAAUCCCCGGGCUUAACCUGGGGGCUGCAUUCCAAACUGGAUAUCUAGAGUGCAGGAGAGGAAAGCGGAAUUCCUAGUGUAGCGGUGAAAUGCGUAGAGAUUAGGAAGAACACCAGUGGCGAAGGCGGCUUUCUGGACUGUAACUGACGCUGAGGCACGAAAGCGUGGGUAGCAAACAGGAUUAGAUACCCUGGUAGUCCACGCCGUAAACGAUGGAUACUAGGUGUAGGGGGUAUCAACUCCCCCUGUGCCGCAGUUAACACAAUAAGUAUCCCGCCUGGGGAGUACGGUCGCAAGAUUAAAACUCAAAGGAAUUGACGGGGGCCCGCACAAGCAGCGGAGCAUGUGGUUUAAUUCGAAGCAACGCGAAGAACCUUACCUGGACUUGACAUCCCUUGCAUAGCCUAGAGAUAGGUGAAGCCCUUCGGGGCAAGGAGACAGGUGGUGCAUGGUUGUCGUCAGCUCGUGUCGUGAGAUGUUAGGUUAAGUCCUGCAACGAGCGCAACCCUUGUUAUUAGUUGCUACCAUUAAGUUGAGCACUCUAAUGAGACUGCCUGGGUAACCAGGAGGAAGGUGGGGAUGACGUCAA
rnacentral:rRNA from 1 species